rnacentral:rRNA from 1 species
AUUCUACGGGAGGCAGCAGUGGGGAAUAUUGCACAAUGGGCGCAAGCCUGAUGCAGCCAUGCCGCGUGUAUGAAGAAGGCCUUCGGGUUGUAAAGUACUUUCAGUAGGGAGGAAGGUGGUUAAGUUAAUACCUUAAUCAUUUGACGUUACCUACAGAAGAAGCACCGGCUAACUCCGUGCCAGCAGCCGCGGUAAUAAUC